GGUAGGGUUACAGAUCGAUUGGUUACAAGAAUACUAGUCGGAUACGCCUAGAAGAGCUCUACUCUUAUUACAAUGAGUAUUUUCCUAAUCCUCGACUAGUUCCUGUCUUUCUAUGUAGACUACGUCAUCCUGCGCUAUAGUUUCCAUGUCGGAUGCAUCUCGGUGUCCAACCCCAUAUUUAGAACUGUCCAAACCUUCUGGUGAGCCUAUAGAUGUAUGUACGACAUUCAUG
rnacentral:lncRNA from 1 species